GGAAAAACAAGAAUUGUAAAGAUUAUUGGGUUCAUCCACUGUGGAGUGAUAGAAAGUGGAAAGUUCUAUAACGUAUUUGUAAAACUACAUGAUUAUCCAGGCAAAUUAUUUUGCUUCUUUCGAAUGAGUAUCACAAGUUUCGAUGAAUUAUUGAGUUUACUGAAACCUACCAAAUCUUAUAGCAACUCAAGAAUUAGAUUAUCCAUCCCUGCAGAACAGAGACUGGCUGUUAGUAUAAGGUGCCAAUGACCAAGAAAGACAACAACUCCAUCUCAAACGUCCCGACCAGUAUUAUUACCUGAACAAAACCUGCUGUGCUUUGGAGAACACUGACGAGAGCUAUGAAUUUUCACGAUUGAAACAGUCUAUGGAAAUGGUCGGUUUUACAUCGGAAAAACAGCGACGAUUGUUCUCUGUGCUAUCGGCCGUUUUACUUCUCGGCAACGUUGAAUUUCAACCAAGAAAGUCAGCCUAUCACCACGACGAGUCCGUUGCUGUAAAAAAUCCCGAAGUGGUUUUGCUGAUAUCGGAAUUACUCAGAGUUAAACAGAUGACGCAAUCAGUAUAGAAAGGGAUGAAGAUCUCAAAAUAGCCCAGGAUGAUGUCAGACAACUAGCACAUACAUGGUUGGCCAGCAAUGAAUUCAUACUGAAUGAGAGUAAAACUGUAAGCCUAAAAUUUGAUUGUAGGCCAAAUAAU